UGGGGAAUAUUGGACAAUGGGCGCAAGCCUGAUCCAGCCACGCCGCGUGAGUGAUGAAGGCCUUCGGGUCGUAAAGCUCUGUGGGGAGGGACGAACCGCCGGCGGUUAACAGCCGACGGCAUGACGGUACCUCCUUAGCAAGCACCGGCUAACUUCGUGCCAGCAGCCGCGGUAAUACGAAGGGUGCAAACGUUGCUCGGAAUCAUUGGGCGUAAAGCGCACGUAGGCGGCUUGCCAAGUCGGACGUGAAAUCCCUCAGCUCAACUGAGGACGUGCAUCCGAAACUGGCGAGCUUGAGUACUGAAGAGGAUCGCGGAAUUCCCGGUGUAGAGGUGAAAUUCGUAGAUAUCGGGAGGAACACCAGUGGCGAAGGCGGCGAUCUGGGCAGAUACUGACGCUGAGGUGCGAAAGCGUGGGGAGCAAAC
rnacentral:rRNA from 1 species